UCCGGACGGGGUUUUAAAGUGCUCUGCCCCUGUCCAGCCGCCAGUGCUGGGACACGGCCCUGGGGAGCGGGGCAGAGCGGGGCCUGCCACAGAGCAUCCGGGACCGAACAAAACGCCUGGGUCCUAGGCGCCCAGGCCUCCCCUGGAGCCGGGAACCGACUCUCCGAGGACACCUGGGAGCGGGGCAGCCAUGGAGCCGGACGCUGCGUGGCCCCUGAACAGGAGAGGCCCCCCUCCGGCCCGCAAGCCCCGCACUGUGGCCCAGAACUUCAAGCGCCUCGGCAUCCCGCUCAUCGCCACCAUCCUGAGCCUGGCCACCA